rnacentral:rRNA from 1 species
CGCAAGCGUUAUCCGGAAUUAUUGGGCGUAAAGAGCUCGUAGGCGGUUUGUCGCGUCUGCCGUGAAAGUCCGGGGCUCAACUCCGGAUCUGCGGUGGGUACGGGCAGACUAGAGUGAUGUAGGGGAGACUGGAAUUCCUGGUGUAGCGGUGAAAUGCGCAGAUAUCAGGAGGAACACCGAUGGCGAAGGCAGGUCUCUGGGCAUUAACUGACGCUGAGGAGCGAAAGCAUGGGGAGCGAACAGG